CCUUUAGACCUGUGCAACGGCUUGGCAGGACACCGGGUCAGGACGGGAACGUAGCAGCCCACCCUGUCUUGCCGUGUGCCGCAGGGAUCUGGAGGGGA
rnacentral:SRP_RNA from 1 species